rnacentral:rRNA from 1 species
GCUCCACCGAAAGAAAAAGAGUGGCGAACGGGUGAGUAACACGUGGGUAACCUGCCCAUCAGAAGGGGAUAACACUUGGAAACAGGUGCUAAUACCGUAUAACACUAUUUUCCGCAUGGAAGAAAGUUGAAAGGCGCUUUUGCGUCACUGAUGGAUGGACCCGCGGUGCAUUAGCUAGUUGGUGAGGUAACGGCUCACCAAGGCRACGAUGCAUAGCCGACCUGAGAGGGUGAUCGGCCACACUGGGACUGAGACACGGCCCAGACUCCUACGGGAGGCAGCAGUAGGGAAUCUUCGGCAAUGGACGAAAGUCUGACCGAGCAACGCCGCGUGAGUGAAGAAGGUUUUCGGAUCGUAAAACUCUGUUGUUAGAGAAGAACAAGGAUGAGAGUARAACGUUCAUCCCUUGACGGUAUCUAACCAGAAAGCCACGGCUAACUACGUGCCAGCAGCCGCGGUAAUACGUAGGUGGCAAGCGUUGUCCGGAUUUAUUGGGCGUAAAGCGAGCGCAGGCGGUUUCUUAAGUCUGAUGUGAAAGCCCCCGGCUCAACCGGGGAGGGUCAUUGGAAACUGGGAGACUUGAGUGCAGAAGAGGAGAGUGGAAUUCCAUGUGUAGCGGUGAAAUGCGUAGAUAUAUGGAGGAACACCAGUGGCGAAGGCGGCUCUCUGGUCUGUAACUGACGCUGAGGCUCGAAAGCGUGGGGAGCGAACAGGAUUAGAUACCCUGGUAGUCCACGCCGUAAACGAUGAGUGCUAAGUGUUGGAGGGUUUCCGCCCUUCAGUGCUGCAGCAA